AUUGAACGCUGGCGGCAGGCCUAACACAUGCAAGUCGGGCGGAGCGGCGGACGGGUGAGUAAUGUAUGGGGAUCUGCCUGAUGGAGGGGGAUAACUACUGGAAACGGUAGCUAAUACCGCAUACUAUCAGAUGAGCCUAGGUCGGAUUAGCUAGUUGGUGGGGUAAAGGCCUACCAAGGCGACGAUCCGUAACUGGUCUGAGAGGAUGAUCAGUCACACUGGAACUGAGACACGGUCCAGACUCCUACGGGAGGCAGCAGUGGGGAAUAUUGGACAAUGGGCGAAAGCCUGAUCCAGCCAUGCCGCGUGUGUGAAGAAGGUCUUCGGAUUGUAAAGCACUUUAAGUUGGGAGGCGUUACCAACAGAAUAAGCACCGGCUAACUUCGUGCCAGCAGCCGCGGUAAUAC
rnacentral:rRNA from 1 species